UUCCAGACUCCUACGGGAGGCAGCAGUGGGGAAUAUUGCACAAUGGGGGGAACCCUGAUGCAGCAACGCCGCGUGAAGGAAGAAGGCUUUCGGGUUGUAAACUUCUAUCAAUAGGGACGAAAAGAAUGACGGUACCUAAAUAAGAAGCCCCGGCUAACUACGUGCCAGCAGCCGCGGUAAUACGUAGGGGGCAAGCGUUAUCCGGAUUUACUGGGUGUAAAGGGGGCGCAGACGGCGAUGCAAGCCAGGAGUGAAAGCCCGGGGCCCAACCCCGGGACUGCUCUUGGAACUGCGUGGCUGGAGUGCAGGAGGGGCAGGCGGAAUUCCUGGUGUAGCGGUGAAAUGCGUAGAUAUCAGGAGGAACACCGGUGGCGAAGGCGGCCUGCUGGACUGCAACUGACGUUGAGGCCCGAAAGCGUGGGGAGCAAACAGGAUUAGAUACCCUUGUA
rnacentral:rRNA from 1 species